AUCUUUUCCUAGACAUGACAGAACCUAAAGAAGCUAGAUUUCCAGCCUAUGGCUGUGAAAAAGUUCAUGCCACUUAGAGAAUGUAGUAGCACUUCUCUUGAUGUAUAGAAAACUUUUUCUGUGACAUGCACCUUAAUAUCUUCUGCAGUAUUUCAUUUGCUUUUACUCCACUUUAGCACUUCUCUUAAUGUAUAGAAAACUUAUUCUGUGACAUGCACCUUAAUAUCUUCUGCAGUAUUUCAUUUGCUUUUACUCCACUUCCCCUAUAAAUGGGUUGACAUCUUCUUGUCCCGGUAGAACUCC
rnacentral:lncRNA from 1 species